AACGAACGCUGGCGGCAUGCCUAACACAUGCAAGUCGAACGAGACCUUCGGGUCUAGUGGCGCACGGGUGCGUAACGCGUGGUAACCUGCCCUUAGGUUCGGAAUAACUCCCCGAAAGGUGUGCUAAUACCGGAGAAUGUCUUCGGACCAAAGAUUUAUCGCCUUUGGAUGGGCCCGCGUUGGUUUAGCUAGUUGGUAGGGUAAAAGCCUACCAAGGCGACGAUCCAUAGCUGGUCUGAGAGGAUGAUCAGCCACACUGGGACUGAGACACGGCCCAGACUCCUACGGGAGGCAGCAGUGGGGAAUAUUGGACGAUGGGCGAAAGUCUGAUCCAGCAGUGCCGCGUGAGUGAUGAAGGCCUUAGGGUUGUAAAGCUCUUUUACCCGGGAUGAUAAUGACAGUACCGGGAGAAUAAGCUCCGGCUAACUACGUG
rnacentral:rRNA from 1 species